UACGUAGGGUCCGAGCGUUGUCCGGAUUUAUUGGGCGUAAAGAGCUCGUAGGCGGCUUGCUAAGUCAGGUGUGAAACCUCCAGGCUCAACCUGGAGCCGCCACCUGAUACUGCUGUGGCUAGAGUCCGGUAGGGGAGCGUGGAAUUCCUGGUGUAGCGGUGAAAUGCGCAGAUAUCAGGAGGAACACCAGCGGCGAAGGCGGCGCUCUGGGCCGGAACUGACGCUGAGGAGCGAAAGCGUGGGUAGCAAACAGG
rnacentral:rRNA from 1 species